rnacentral:tRNA from 1 species
UGUGGUUAUAGCUUAGUUGAUACAGUGCUUGCCUCACAUGCACAAGGCCCUGGGUUCAACCCCAGCACCACAA